AUCGCUUCUCGGCCUUUUGGCUAUGAUCAAGUGUAGUAUCUGUUCUUAUCAGUUUAAUAUCUGAUAUGUCCUCUAUAUGGGGAUUAAAUAUUAAAUGCAUUUUUGAGCAUUGGGAGGUGAAAACUGGGGCUUGCUCUCUUCAGUGCCACCAGGAACGGUGCACCAUUCUCUUUUUUCUGUGAAAAC